rfam:Camelus ferus unplaced genomic scaffold scaffold1022, whole genome shotgun sequence.
GAGGGUCUCGCUCAGUGGUAGAGUGCAUGCUUAGCAUGCACUAAGUCCUGGGUCCAAUCCCCAGGACCUCCA